rnacentral:rRNA from 1 species
UGCGUAGGUGGGUUGGUAAGUCAGUGGUGAAAUCUCCGUGCUUAACAUGGAAACUGCCAUUGAUACUACUGGUCUUGAAUUUUCUGGAGGUAAGCGGAAUAUGUCAUGUAGCGGUGAAAUGCUUAGAUAUGACAUAGAACACCAAUUGCGAAGGCAGCUUACUACAGGGAUAUUGACACUGAGGCACGAAAGCGUGGGGAUCAAACA